AUUGAACGCUGGCGGAAUGCUUUACACAUGCAAGUCGAACGGUAGCACAGAGAGCUUGCUCUUGGGUGACGAGUGGCGGACGGGUGAGUAAUGUCUGGGAAACUGCCCGAUGGAGGGGGAUAACUACUGGAAACGGUAGCUAAUACCGCAUAACGUCUUCGGACCAAAGUGGGGGACCUUCGGGCCUCACACCAUCGGAUGUGCCCAGAUGGGAUUAGCUAGUAGGUGGGGUAAUGGCUCACCUGGGCGACGAUCCCUAGCUGGUCUGAGAGGAUGACCAGCCACACUGGAACUGAGACACGGUCCAGACUCCUACGGGAGGCAGCAGUGGGGAAUAUUGCACAAUGGGCGCAAGCCUGAUGCAGCCAUGCCGCGUGUAUGAAGAAGGCCUUCGGGUUGUAAAGUACUUUCAGCGGGGAGGAAGGCGAUGGAGUUAAUAGCUUCAUCGAUUGACGUUACCCGCAGAAGAAGCACCGGCUAACUCCGUGCCAGCCGCCGCCGUAA
rnacentral:rRNA from 1 species